rnacentral:tRNA from 1 species
AGCCCCGUGGUGUAGUGGUCAAUCAUGUGAGGCUCUGGACCUCACGACCCAGGUUCGAAUCCUGGCGGGGCUA